UUCCCAGACUCCUACGGGAGGCAGCAGUGGGGGAUAUUGCACAAUGGGGGAAACCCUGAUGCAGCGACGCCGCGUGAGUGAAGACGGCCUUCGGGUUGUAAAGCUCUGUCAAUCGGGACGAAGAAGAUGACGGUACCGAUGAAGGAAGCACCGGCUAACUCCGUGCCAGCAGCCGCGGUAAUACGGAGGGUGCGAGCGUUAAUCGGAAUUACUGGGCGUAAAGCGCUCGUAGGCGGUAUGUCAAGUCAAGGGUGAAAUCCCCGCGCUCAACGUGGGAACUGCCUUUGAAACUGGCAAACUGGAGUGUGUGAGAGGAUAGUGGAAUUCCAGGUGUAGGAGUGAAAUCCGUAGAUAUCUGGAGGAACAUCAGUGGCGAAGGCGACUAUCUGGCACAUAACUGACGCUGAGGAGCGAAAGCGUGGGUAGCAAACAGGAUUAGAUACCCCCGUAC
rnacentral:rRNA from 1 species